rnacentral:lncRNA from 1 species
CUAUUUCUAAUAUUUGAACACACAAGGAAAUUAUAAUUUCCUCCUUCACCUUAUCGGUCUCUUCCUUACAACAAUUCAGUCAUACCAAUAACUACUACUUCCACCAAUAUAUUCACCCUCAUAAUCUCCAACUGUAAUACUGUGCCCUCACAGUUUUCAGCACACAAUUAUCCUCGUUCCAAUCACUGGAAUUCUUCACACAAAAUUGUCAUUCAUAUUACAGUGUUUCACACAAACACAGACUCAAUCUCUCUGCUGAACUACAAUCAGAUUUCAGCAUUCAAUCUUUCUUUUUCUCAAAUAAUACCAAUCACAUUUCUAUUCCAUAAUUCACUUCACAAUAUUCAGAAACUUUCAAUCAUCUUAUUCAAAGAAAAUAACAAACAAAAGAAAAGAGGUAGCACCAAGCUUAUCCCGGCUCACGACUCUCACAGUCUGGCCCUCGCCUCAUAACUCUCACAGUCUGGCCCUCGGCUCACAACUCUCA